UACGUAGGGGGCAAGCGUUGUCCGGAUUUAUUGGGCGUAAAGAGCGUGUAGGCGGCUUUGCAAGUCCGUUGUGAAAACUCGAGGCUCAACCUCGAGACGCCGGUGGAAACUGCAAAGCUAGAGUCCGGAAGAGGAGAGUGGAAUUCCUGGUGUAGCGGUGAAAUGCGUAGAUAUCAGGAAGAACACCCGUGGCGAAGGCGGCUCUCUGGGACGGUACUGACGCUGAGACGCGAAA
rnacentral:rRNA from 1 species